rnacentral:misc_RNA from 1 species
UACGAAGGGCCCAAGCGUUAAUCGGAAUCACUGGGCUUAAAGGGUGCGCAGGCGGUUUGCAAGUACCUGGUGAAAUCCCACGGCUCAACCGUGGAAUUGCUGGGUAAACUGCAGGCCUUGAGCCCGGCAGAGGUCGUCGGAACUCUAGGUGGAGCGGUGAAAUGCGUAGAUAUCUAGAGGAACGCCAAAGGUGAAGACAGACGACUGGGCCGGCGCUGACGCUGAGGCACGAAAGCGUGGGGAGCGAACAGG